AUGACGUUUUACCCAACCCCUCCAGGCAGUAAAACGGAAAGACUCGGAAUUUGCCUCUGCGCCAUCUUUUGGCUGUUACCUGUGAUAUCCUUGGUUUCAGGUUCAUGUGAAGAACAUGCAGGAUUGUUGCAUAGGAAGCAGAAUCUUAAACUUUCUGAGGAGAGCAUUUGGGCUUCAGAUUUCUAACAGCAUUACUUAUUAAAGCCCAAAACAACAACAACAACAACAACAGCAACAAAACAAACCAGGAAUCAACACUAGUGUUCAACAAUGGAAGAGUGGUCAGAUAAAGUAUGUUGCAUCUGUACAAGUCUGUACUACGUGGAUAUGUGAGUAUUAACAGAAUUUUGAUACUAACAUGAGAAAAUGUUCAUCAUGUAUUUUAGGUGC
rnacentral:lncRNA from 13 species